GCAAUCAGGUUCGGUUGAGAGUGUAGAGCUUUUCCACGUCAGUGUGUUUACUAAGAGCAGAGUGACAGCUGGAAGGUGUACACUUUACUGACCUGUCGAGCAUUUUUAAGUGAAUGAAGAGGCGGUGUUUGGGAAUAUUUCGGUAUCGCACAGUGGAAUGUCCGACGUUUUUGCUUUGUUUCAUUGUGGCGCCUGAACUGAACUCUGGUCUUUUUCAUUCACUCUUGGCCGGCUAGCCUACUAGCUUACCGAGCAAGGCUAGCAUUAGCUAUAGAAGGACUUCAUCUGUGAUACAACCGCCGUAGACAGGAAGCAGCAUGGUGGAUAAGAACAUCUACAUUGUCCAGGGUGAAAUUAGCACUGUUGUUGGAGCCAUAAAGAGGAACUCCAGAUGGAAUACCCACACUCCACUAGACGAAGAACAAGACCCAUUACUCAACAGCUUUGGCAAUCUCAAGGACAUACUGAACACCAUAAAAGGUACGUGGCCUUAUUCAGGCUGU